rnacentral:tRNA from 1 species
CAGGAAAUAGUUUAUAAAAUAUUAAUUUUGGAGAUUGAAGAUAAAGGGGUUUCCUUUUUUCCUGA